UACGUAGGGGGCAAGCGUUGUCCGGAAUCAUUGGGCGUAAAGAGCGCGUAGGCGGCCCGAUAAGUCCGCUGUGAAAGUCAAGGGCUCAACCCUUGAAUGCCGGUGGAUACUGUCGAGCUAGAGUCCGGAAGAGGCGAGUGGAAUUCCUGGUGUAGCGGUGAAAUGCGCAGAUAUCAGGAGGAACACCAAUGGCGAAGGCAGCUCGCUGGGACGGUACUGACGCUGAGGCGCGAAAGCGUGGGGAGCAAACAGG
rnacentral:rRNA from 1 species